rnacentral:rRNA from 1 species
GUGAUAAACUGGAGGAAGGUGGGGAUGACGUCAAGUCAUCAUGGCCCUUACGACCAGGGCUACACACGUGCUACAAUGGCGCAUACAAAGAGAAGCGACCUCGCGAGAGCAAGCGGACCUCAUAAAGUGCGUCGUAGUCCGGAUUGGAGUCUGCAACUCGACUCCAUGAAGUCGGAAUCGCUAGUAAUCGUGGAUCAGAAUGCCACGGUGAAUACGUUCCCGGGCCUUGUACACACCGCCCGUCACACCAUGGGAGUGGGUUGCAAAAGAAGUAGGUAGCUUAACCUUCGGGAGGGCGCUUACCACUUUGUGAUUCAUGACUGGGGUGAAGUCGUAACAAGGUAACCGUAGGGGAACCUGCGGUUGGAUCAC